CCGUUGUUUAAUCCUUUUGAGAGUACAUCUGUGGCAAUGGCUCGUGUAUGGACAUAAGACACACAUUCUCCUAAAAAAUCAUUUUUCACUUGAAAAAAUCUCUCCCGCAAACUUUAAUGAGUGAUCAGAAAGGUAAUUUCUUAAUUAAUUAGCCUACAAACCAAAACAGAAAAAAGAUGUAUCCCGUGCAGCAGACUGGCAUUUAUAAGUCCAGUGAAACGAAGACUUACCAGAAAAUUCUAUCAAUCACUGCCCAUAGAGGAGUUAAUAUAGCCGAAUUACGAACAUUGAGCUCUAUCAGAGAGUAUAUUUACUAGGAACAUCGCAAAAAUUUUGAGAUCAAUGGAAGAAUGGAAGUUCAGUUUAAAUUUUUUUAAUGAUGUUUAUAAUGAAAUUCUCAUACAACAUUUUUAAAGUUUGAAAAUCC
rnacentral:lncRNA from 1 species